rnacentral:lncRNA from 1 species
AGGCUGCCCUGUUUCUCCUCAAAAUUAUGCCGUCUACACCCGACAUAAUUUUUUCUUGGUCGAAACAGACACUCCUUCAAUCACUCACUCUAUUCUAUGAGAAGUUAAAACAGUUCAAUCGCUGACUUUCGCGAUAAAUCACGCUUCUCGCGUCUUGCCUUCCUAAGGUUUGCCCAACUUAGGGUUCCUAGGUCCCAACGACCUAAUACUAAGCUCUGAUACCAACUUAAUCUGCCACGCCCCAGAUUACUCGUUUCCCUGGGCACGCCGACAAAUCUGCCGUAUACAAAAUUUUUUUUUUAUAUACGAAGAGAUAGCUGUAUCUGUACCUGUAAUCAUACAAAAGUACAACGAGUAGUAUAAAGCUGCUAACAGAACUGUAACAUAUAAAAAUAAGUAUCGGGUUCACAAUACAUACAUAAUCUCCAGAUACAAAAACACUCGCUCCAGCGAGGAUCUAACAUCAGUAUGUACAUGACCCAAAAAUCCAAAACUACCUGUAGCUGGUACUCCUCUAAACAGCAACAAAACUGGAAGGGAUCUAGCUCACGACUUCCUUUUCACGAUCAGAAUCAACAACAGCAGCAGCCGAAGAAUGAGGCUCUGCAAAAAGGGGUCAAUAACUGAGGGUGAGAACUACUGCAAAAAGAAGUAGUCCUCAGUGGAUACCGCUACCGACCUCAACGGCUCA